CCAGCUGAGGGUACACUGCCUUUAGAUUGCUGUGAUUUUAUUGUCAUGAUUAUAAUUGUAAAUCGUUGUAAUUAUGGUGUAAACAUUUUAACAGGCACCUUGACAGGCACCUAUCAAGCGUGAGCGUGGGGUCCUGAUUCAGUGUGUUUACUUCUGCUGCCUGCACUGCGUGGAUCUUGUCAGCGCUACAUAGCAUGCAAGUUAGCUGCAGCUCUUCCAGUGAACGUUAACUGACUGUUAUAUGGACACGAAAUAUGGUACAAUACUUGCCUAUGAAAAGCUUUUCUCAAUCGCAACAACGAGGAGAAACAUAGCCACAAAGAUGUAGCUCUCUAGUAGUGUUUUGAGAGCACACUCGUGAGUGAGAAGUGGCGACUGAGGAUUGCUGGACCAAACCAAACCAACUGGGAAGCGCCUGGAUCUCGUACGGACUUUAUGCCUUGAAGGCACCUUCAGAGGGACAGUUCGGCUCCACUACUGCAGGGAGGGCAGAAGCUGAAUGUUCCACAUAUGUACCAUGAUGCUGCCAGCCUGGCAUCCAGCCCUGCCAUUACCCUAAACACACUAUAGGACUGAGGUGGUCAGUUACAGUCACAGAUGGGGGAAGAUGGCGACAGUCCCAAGACGACGUUCACCACCUCAACACUGAAAUGUACCAGUACCACAAGGAGGCUGCCCUGGACUUAACCCUAAGAAGACCCAACACAUACCAUGCCACCCCUUGUUAUUGCACUCUACCACACAUACCCUCAUCACAGGCUUUGGGAGGGAGUUUGAAUGUUGACCUUGUGAUAUUUUGAGUGACUGACAAUAUGUAUGAUGUUUAUGUCUCACUUUAAACAGGAUAUCAACUAUUGGUUUGAUCCUUACUGUUUAAAGCAUACAUGUACUAUAAUCCAUUACGUUAUUAAACUGUUUUUUAACCUUUCCAUUAA